rnacentral:lncRNA from 1 species
CAUGCAUGUAUUUCAAAAUUUUUUUGAAAAAAUUACAGUGGAAGAUAACUAGAUUAAUCAAAUUAAUCUAAUAUACAUAUGAUCUAAUCAUCAAAUCAAUCUACUCUAGGAUCUAUGACAUGUUAUAUUGCAUAUAAAAUCUAAAAAAUAUUGAAGAUAAAAUCAACAUGCAUGCAUGUGAGCAGUAGAUCACAUCUACUUCUAAUCUGAGUUCAGAACUCGAUACCUGAGUAUGGAUCAAUGAUCACCGCUACUGAGAGAUAUAGUGGAGAGAAUCCUUACUGGUUGCUUAUAGCCACACAUAUAUCUGGCCUCCAUGAGAAAUCCACUUGAAGCUCCAAUUGGAUCGGUCUUCUCGGGAGUGCUAGCUCGCACAAAGACCUUCUUGUUGGCUGAUCUAGAUCCUUUUUUUAAAUCUCUAAAAUCUUUCUAAAGAUUAAAAAUAAAUAUUUUAAAGGAGAUGAAGAGGUAGAAGAAAGAUAAAGAAGAAAAUAAUUUUUUUCUAAUUUAUUCUCUCUUCUUAAAUCCUUAGAAUCAAAAACUUGGUAUUCAGGUUUCUGCAUAGACCCCAA